ACGACCUUACUUGAACAGGAUCUGUUCUAUAGGCUCGUACCGUUGCAUCUAUGACUAAUAAGGAGGCAAGCACAAAAGCUUGGUUGAUGGACGCAUGACCUGUGUGGGCCCAGAGCGUGAUUAACGGCCAGAUCAUGUCACACUGGCUGAUUCGAUCCCACGGCUGUAGAGGAUCGUACCUUCCCGGGCCUCGCCUGGCCAGGAUGGCUCUCAGGUUGUCUGACAGGCU
rnacentral:snoRNA from 1 species